UCAAGUACUGUAGCAAAAUACCUACGCAGCACGCUUGGGUGGUGGGCCAUCACUGCCGGGCAUAGUGGACGGCCGUCGGUCUCUUCCGUGGUGAGCCGUGAAUCAGAAUCCGUCUCCCCGUCUGAUCCGUGGACCAGGAAAUUCGAUUUCCGUGUAGUGGUGACAGGAACGAAUUGAAGGCAGGACCGAGUCUUCUCGGCUACGGCGUCGGUCAUUUGGAAGCUGGAGACUCCGGGACAGGGGCAACUAGCGCCGCCGGCAAGCCGCCAUGGAUUUUCUGAUGCAGCCAAUCAGCAGAUCCAGUCUGCUUGAGGAGGUAGGGGAUAGCUUGGUGCCGGCUCCUGUGGCUGUCAAUCUGGAAGUGGCACCGAAGGCGGAGCGGGAGGCGGCGCAGCAGCUGACGGUGGAUAGCGGUGAAGCACAAAUCUUGUUGGCGGAGGAGGUGGCGGCGAACAGAAGGGAGGGCUCGCCGCCAACGUCGGAGCUGUCGACGGGGAAGAUGAAUCCCCAAGCACCAGGGUGGAACAAAAGGCUAAGAGUUGGUGCUGCUGCCCCCAUCAGAACACCAUGCCCACCUCGUGCGAGUGCGUUUGAGAAGGCAGUCAGGUGUUUCGCGAAGAACCCAUCUGAAAAUGUGAUCACACCGAUUCUUAACGGUACUUUCGACUCUGUGGCCGAGGUGUAUGACUUCUACAACUUGUUUUCGUGGGAGAAGGUUUUGGCAUCCGGUAUGGCAAGAGAUGGCUAAAUGUCAAGAGGACAGAGUGCAUGCAGGAGAUAGUUUGUGGGUGCUCGGGUAAAGCUGGGGUCGACAACACAAGGUCUUGAGUGCCCUGCUCUGGUUAGACUUUUACGAGCAGAGGAUAACAGGUGGUACAUUGUACCACAUAGAGACAAUCAGAAAUCUCGACGGGGGAAAUGAACCCUCAAGCGCCAGGAUGGUCUAAGAGGUUCGUUCUGAUUUUGCACGGAACAAAUCUCGCGUUGGUGUGUGUGGUCUUGCUUGUGUUGCUUGUUUAUUUAUUAGUUUGGGAUACUUAGUAAACAAUGUUUAUCAUACGGAUGCAAUUACCAAUAUGAUAAAUUGUGCAAUCAAUCCAUUUGGCAUGACAAAGGUGAUGUUGAGAUAUGUAUGGGCUAUUGGUUGGUAGAAAUUCAAAAAUAGUAAUGUUCUUACUAGUUUUUGCGCCAUGUUAGUAAAGCGUGACGGAUGUGCAAGCAUUCAGAAGUUUGACAAUAACAUAUAUGAUACUGUCGGCUGUGAAAUAAUGCUGCAUGAUAUGAAUCAUUUUAGUACAGUUCUUACUGCUUUUGCGACAUUUUAGGAAAAUCUAAUCGAAUGUGCAAGUAGUUCAGAAUUUUGAUAAUAACGUGGAUGAUAGUGUGCACUUACCUCCCAUCUGUGAAAAUAAAGUUACAUAGUAUGAUUCAUACUCUGGGUGAUUUCUGGUUUACGGAACAAUUGUCUGAACUCUUUUUGGAAGAGUUAUAGUUUCAGGCUCAUGAUAGGAGCUGGCGGCACCCAGCAGGGCCUUUUGUCUGUCUUGCCUGAGUGCUUUCAAUAAAGAAGUGAUGGGUUUUCCUGAGAACCCCUCAGGCAAUGUCAUUGUCCUGAAACCGGGUAUAAGUUGACGGGGUAUUUCUCGCCAUAUGUUGUGGAUGUGGAGGAGCGAACAUUGUUUGUCAUUGAUCCUUGCAAGACAUCUGGCUAGGACGAUGACAUGCACAUUAAGCAUGAGGCCAAUGCCAAACUGGUGCUUGAUAGUCUACGCGAAUGUAUUCAUGCAAAACAUUGCAGGUUGGCACAUGCCGGUAAUGGGGUGGAGCAUAGCAUACAACUACGGCAUGCAUGAGAGCUGUGAGAUUUAAGUGCUUAUGGCCCAUGAUGCUUUUAUCCCUUGCCGAUAUUUUGUGGACGGCGAUUGGACACUUGCCGUGCACCAUAUUCUAUGGCAGUGAGGAUAGUUGGGUGGAUCCGUGUAUGUCUUUCACUACAUCCGUGAGUACAAUGGUUUGUACCUGGAAAGUCAGAUAACAAGGCACUGCCUUGCAUACCUCUGAAACUUGAUUGCAUAUGAGGUGAUUUCGAUGAAAGGAAAUAAGGGUGAGCUCCAAGCUUCAUGAUCCAAGUUCUGUUCUACUAGGAGAUUGGUGGUCUGCUGGAGUCUAGAUGGUAUCAUUUUGGUUUUUGGUAUGCGUUUCUAUGGCAAUGUAUUCAGGACUACUCGAGCACGACAUAUUAGGUGUAUUCUGAUGCAUUGGGUUAGUUGCUUAGUGCACCUCUUGCUGAGUGCGGAUAAAAGCUUAUCAGCAAACUUAAUCAUGUCCAGUUGCAUGUACCCCCGCGCUGUGCUCAGGUGAGAUAGGCAACGGGCGUUUGCUCUCUUAGGAUGGCUAUGCCAUUUUGGACC